AUAAACUACAACAUUAGAAACAUAAAAUGUGGCAAAUUUACCUGCUAUGGCGCAAUUACGGUUGUAUGCAACUUGACGCUUGACAUCCCAUGCGAAUGCUUUGAGCUGCAAGUGUCUGAGCGGCUGGAAUGGAGAGCACUGCCAGCCCGAGAAUGGCUACUAAAUGUAUUCAAGGAUGGACGGGGCCACGUUGUCGUACUGAUAUAGACGAAUGCAAAAAUUCGUCGUUAUAUUCAUGUGGAAUACACCAGCAUAGCAGUAAUCACCGAGGAAAUUACUCAUGUGAUUGUGAUGCCGGAUGGAGUGGAGAACACUGCGAAACAGACAUCAAUGAAUGUGAUCAUUCGCCGUGUCAAAAUUGAUCCACUUGCCACAAUCAAGAGGGUUCAUAUAUGUGCAUGUGCCCUCCAGACUGGACUGGUAAAAACUGUGCGCAGACAAAUUACUGUUAUUUAACACCUUGCGUAAAUAAUGCUACUUGUCUAAAUGACCCAAGUUGGAGGAAUUGUUUUUGUCCUGUCGGCUGGCAAGGUGAAGACUGCAAUCAGGACAUCAAUGAAUGUUUAGAAAACCCAUGUAAGCACAAUGACACCUGUAGCAACUCAAAUGGGUCAUAUGUCUGUAACUGCCUAAUGGAAUGGAGAGGAUACGUAUGUGAAAUCGAUGUCGAUGAAUGGUCGGUAAACACAUCUCUCUGUAGACACUGAUCAACUUGUGCUAACAUCGAAGGUUCUUUUAUAAGUGAUUGCAGCAGUGGAUUCGCAGGUCACAGCUGCGAGGCUGACAUAAACGAAUGCCUUUCCGCCCCAUGUGUGAACAACGGGACGUGCAACAACACCAUUGAUUCUUUCAACUGCGUUUGCGCUCAGAACUAUACGGGGAAGAACCGCGAAAAGGAGCUAUCCGCAAAUUCAGGUAAGGGAGCCGAUAACACGCCGGUCAUUGUCGGUGCCGUGCUGGGAAGCUUGGGUGCUGUUGGGGCCGCGGGUUUAGGCAUAUUUCUGUUCAAUAAAUUUAGCCCUUGGCGGUUCAACAAAACGCACAGUGACUUUUCGUCAUAUGGCUUAAACAAAAAAGAGACAGCUGAAGAAAAACCUACAAUGCCGGGACAAACAUAGUUUCAGGCGACGUAAUAACUGAGGUUGAUACGUGUGUAGGCAUGGACACAUGUGCGAUUCAC